rnacentral:rRNA from 1 species
GUCUUUAUUUAAUGUUUUAAAGUCUAACCUGCCCACUGAAAAAUUAAAUGGCCGCGGUAUUUUGACCGUGCAAAGGUAGCAUAAUAAUUUGUUUUUUAAUUGAAAACUUGAAUGAAAGGUUGGACAAAAAACAAACUGUUUUUAAUUUUAAGUUUUAACUUUACUUUUAGGUGAAAAGGCCUAAAUAUUUUUUAAAGACGAUAAGACCCUAUAAAGCUUUAUAAUAUAUAAUUUUAAAAAAUUUAUGUAGUUUAAUAAAUGUUAAUUUUUUUUGUGUUAUUUUAUUGGGGUGAUAAAAAUAUUAAAAUAAAAAACUGUUUUUAUUACAUAACAAAGAUAUUUGAUGAAAUUUAUUGAUCCUUAAAUUUAAGAUUUAAAGUUUAAGUUACUUUAGGGAUAACAGCGUAAUUUUUUUUGAGAGUUCUUAUCGAAAAAAAAGUUUGCGACCUCGAUGUUGAAUUAGAAUUUCUUUAUUGGUGCAGAAGCCAUAAAAGUAAGUCUGUUCGACUUUUAAAAUUCU